AGCGAACGUUUGCGGCGGGCUUAACACAUGCAAGUCGAACGGGCUGUUCCUUCGGGGGCAGUCAGUGGCGCACGGGUGCGUAACACGUAGGUAAUCAACCCUCUGGUUGGGGAUAACACCUCGAAAGGAGUGCUAAUACCCGGUAUGGCGCAGCGGUCUUCGGAUCGCGGCGAGAAAGACCCGCAAGGGUUGCCAGAGGACGAGCCUGCGGCCCAUCAGCUAGUUGGCGAGGUAACGGCUCACCAAGGCGAAGACGGGUAGCUGGUCUGAGAGGAUGAUCAGCCACACUGGAACUGAGACACGGUCCAGACUCCUACGGGAGGCAGCAGUGGGGAAUAUUGCGCAAUGGGCGAAAGCCUGACGCAGCCACGCCGCGUGAGCGAUGAAGGCC
rnacentral:rRNA from 1 species